UAAAAUUGAUUCAAAUUAUCAUGUUGAAAUGGAAUAUAUCUAUAUUAUGAUAUUUUGGUGUUAAUUUAUGGCAGACAUAGUUUAUGGUGGAUAUGAAAUGUGAUGGGUGUGUUUCCGCCGUCAAGAAUAAGGUUCAAACCGUUAAUGGUGGGUGACAAUUUUCACAUUAGUUAGUUAAAAAUUGAUCAAUGAUUGUGAUUUUGUGCUAUAUAGUGUCCGUAAAUGAUCUUUCUAAGUAAUCAAGUGGUUAUGGUUCUUGGGUCAUCUCAUGUUCGUUAGUCUAUAAUAAAAUUUAUUAUUUUCAAACCUUACAUGAAUCAUAUUAAUUUUGAAUUUUAGAAUUUUUGGAGUUGGCUUUAUAAAGUCAAGAUGGGGUUUUGUUGGAAUAGAUGCAGUAGUGUUUGCAUCAGAUGAAAAGUUCCCCAGAAUCCAUAAAUGCAUAGUUAUACACAUAUAUAUUAUCUCUUGAACUAAGUUCAAUUUGAAAUUUGAUGAGGUUGAUAGUGGUGGGACAAACCAUUGAUUAAAUUGUUGACUUGACAAAAUAUGUGUUGGGCAAAAAAUUUAGUCAAAGUUUUCAGAAUCUGAAAUUUCUCUAGAUGUAAGUGGAUCCUCACUGUAUACAUGCUAUCUGAAUAUAUGUGUGUAAUAUUUGGUCCAUUAGUAGUUAAAUCAGAUGCCUUAUAUCUAAAAGGAAGCAAGGACUCUUAAAUAUGAGUUCAAGAUUCUAUUUUUAUGCAUGCACUUCUUUAUAUAUACUUUGUUAAUAAAUGUUAGGACAAAAGGUGAACUCUCUUUCUAGAAGUAGAAUUUUUUUGUCGAUGGGAUGAAAAGUUGUGUCAAAUUAGAUUUCAUUAAGGUAGUUGAAUAUUUGUACUUUAGGCUGAGAAGAAUUUGAAGAUAUACAAGUAACUUUAUGUGCACUACUUUUGAGUUUUGAUGCCUAAGUUUGUUGGUCUACAAAAAGAAAACUACGCCCUCUGCACUGAAAUUAGAGUCCAGGUGAAAAUCAAAAUAUCUAAUUUGUGAUAUUUGAACUGAUAUCGGCAGUGUAUUUGGUGUUAAAACUUUCAUUUCAACAUCUUUUACACACAAUAGUAUCAAAAAUAUUAUCAUAAGAAAGUAUAUGAAUAUAGUAUCAAAGAUUUCAAAAUAUAGUUGCUUCAAUUUUUCUUGAUUCGACUCCUUUUCUUUUUGUUUAGUUUUGAUUUGUAUUGUGCAAUCAAUAUUGUAAGUGAGCUCAUUGAAUUUACAUUGUUGGCAUAGAUGAUGCAUAAUCAAGGAUAGGGAAUUACAUAUUUUAUUUUUCCUAAUUCAAAUGAUUUUUCUCACAAGUUUAUUAUUUAAUCUUUUAGUUUAAAUUAAUAAUGUGCUUAUGGUGUGUUUGAUUUGGUCCAUUGAAGCCUUAUUUGAAGGGUUUCCUCCUCUUCAAGAAUGUUAAACUUCGGCCAAAGUUAUCAUUUUCAGAAAAAGAGAACGAUCAGAAGAAACAUGAAGUUUUGUGGGCUCACUAUUUUGGUACAGAUGUCUUUGUUUGGUUGAAGGUGUGUUUUUGUUGAAGUUAUUUUUGUUUUCUGGUCUUUGAUAUCAGGGGUGUAGCAAACAAUGUUUGAAUAUAAAAUAUUAGAGGAGAAAAAAGAAAAAAGGCUUUUGAGUGGUAGAAGAUAGGGAAGGAAAGAGUAUAUAUUACAAAUGAAUUGGAUUAUUUAUGGUUAAUCGAGUUUUGCAGAUGGUGUUUGAUAAUCUUAUGGUUAGAAGAGGACGGCUCUAGCAUAUUGAUGUUAUUUCAGCAAGUGAAGUGAUUUCAUUUUGUGGUUGGAUUCUCAUUUCUCUCUUCAUGUUGGGCUGUUGAACUACUUAUGUACUAUCUUUGCCCUAUUGGUGUUAAAUAUCUUUAGAAAUUGUGUUAUUUUUAAUGGAGGCAGGACUAAGUGUAACAUUUUUGUGUUUUAAGAACUACCUUUCGUGGAUGAAAGGUAAAUACAGAGUUUUAGUUUCAGACAACAGAUAUAUAUUCUCAAAUUCUGAGUGUUGUUAAGGUUGUAUGGGACACCAUGUUGUUGUUCUCCUCGGGGAAUGUUUCAGGUAUGUCUACAUGGCUUUUGGGUUGUUUUGGUUUAAC
rnacentral:lncRNA from 1 species